AAUCUUAUGGAAACAUUUCUGCACACAAUAAAGAAACUAGUGUACAGAAAUGUUUACUUGUCUAUG
rnacentral:pre_miRNA from 2 species